AAUUGCAUUAGGGAACAGUUGCCUCUAAUUGUUACCAAACUUUUGCAAACCAAGAAACAACAAAGAAGGGAAAGCAGUAGAUAAUUAAGUACAUAAUUGUACACACCACUCGUUAAUUAAGCUUUUACUCCUGGAACCUGCCAGAAUCUGCUUAUAAGGUGAUAGCGAGAGGGAAUGUGGCAUAUGGCAAGCCAUCUGCAAUACGAAUGCUUUGUCAAUGGAAACUUCCCUGCCCCACAAAAAGAAUGAGAUGCUAAAUGCAGUUUUCCAGAGCAAAGCCAUUUAUCUUCAUUCUGUGCAGAAAACGGGUUGACAGUACUGAGUACAGAUGAAAGAGCGCCACAACGAGCCGAGGGGCUCCAUCUGUGAUGGUGGUGGUGCCCCAGCCACACACACCAGGCCCCCGCUGCUGGGCGGCCCGGGCCGGCAGUGUUCUGGGGACCCCUUGGGUGGCUUAGCUGCUGGGAGGCAGUUCCUUCAGGACACAGGAAGCGUAGAAGAGGGUUGGCACAGCCAGGGGCUAUGAUCAGCUCCUCUCUGAAAUGCUCCCCUUCUGCGUGUGCAGGGAGUCAGACCUGUGGAAGGUCUUGAGAAAAGUGAGUGAAGACAGAGGGAGAGUUGACUGUCCCCUGUGUGUCGGCCAACAGCCCCCUGGUGGCCAUCCCACCUUUGGAGCUUCUGGGACUUGAAGGUCCGUAACCUGUUCAAGCCCACUUCCUCAGCUGUAAAGUGGAGAUAAAUAAUCUAUCUUGGCUGCUGCCCUGGACUGAUGAAAGACCUGGUAGGAUGAUGCAGAAAUGAUACCCAACACUGGGAGGUUAACAUCUGAAUGGAACUAUUAUUGUUCCAUUGUGAACUCACACCUCCGCUUUUGGCCAGCCUUGUCCUGCAACCGGGCUCACAGCAGGCAAGCCCAGAGGGAGGGACUCUGCCCCGGGUACCCCAGGCAGUGGUGCCUGCAGUUCCCUUCAUCCUAAGGGCCUUUCCAGUUCUGUUCCCUGCAUUCUAAGAAUCUUUUCAGUUCUGCUCCCAUGUUCUAAGAAUCUUACAGCUGUUGGAAAGGGGGCUCCCUUUCCUCCAGAAAUGAGAAAGGGGGUCAAUGGGGACACAGCAGGUCUGGGAACGUGGACACAGGCAUGGCCCUACCAGGCUCCCGGACUGCAUCUCCAUCUCUGCUGCUCCUCAAACUGGGUCACCACCCCAGGGGAGAGGGGGCUGCCUUGGCCCUGUCAGUGGAGUCACAUAGUACAAAGCAUGGUGACUAAUUGUGUGGAAGUUCCCCUUCCCCCCAUGGACUUCCUAGUCUAGAACUGCCCUCUGCCUGGACUUUGGCCGGGACCCCAGCUGUUCACUUCUAGACUCUAAGGUGGGGGCACCUAUUGCACUCAUCAAUGCCCUCUUUCUCUCCACAAGUAUUCCAAGAAAUCGCUUGUUGUACUGUGGAGACGUGGCUACCUGGCUUUGGGGCUCCUUAUGUCCCCCAGCGACUUGCCUCUUCUGCAGAUCCCACUGCUGUGUGCUCCGUGGUGGCUUGCUCUCCCUCACCCAAGCCUGACCAGGCCCUUCCACCAGGGCUUAACCCUUCUGCACAGACAGCCCCUGGGAGGCCCCCCGUUCCUGUCACACAAGAAGGACUCUGUACAGACCUGAGUCUGCUCCCUGGCAAGCAGGGCCAUGGCUGGUUGUCAUAGCUGCUGCCGGUCCUCAUGAUUCAACAGAAGAUAGUCUCUGAGUGUCUGCGUAAGCCUUUCCUGUGGACCAGCACCCAGACAUAGAGCCUCCUAUGGCUUCCUCCCAAAACCCCAAAGGGUGGGCAGCCGGGGGUGAGGGGCAUGGGGAGCCCUGGGUGCCGGCUGGACUCUGCCCCAUGCCCUGGCCAGGGCCCUCCUUCCUUUAAUGCUAACCAUGUUCAUUCCAGAAAAGACAGAGGGAGUACUCUUCACACUCAACACUUCACAUCUCAAUGGUUUUAUUAGUCUCCACCUUUUAUCAAUCAGGCCACUGAGGCUAUCCAAUCCCCAGCAUCAUCACAGAGAGAUUUCUUAGCUAGAAGGAACCACCGAGAUGAUGGGGUCCACUCCCCACUCAUUUUACAGAUGAGGAGAAUCAGGCCUUCAGGGCAGGAGGGACUUGUGGUAGGUCACUCCCUGCCUCAGGACCUCAGCCCCAGCAAUGCCUUGAGCCCAAGCAGAUGGAGCCAUGACUCUGGGAGGGAGCUGGCAGGAGAGGAAGCACCACUUUCUGGCCAUCCCUGGGAAGGUGGCUUACCAGGACAGAACUGAUCCCCAGGGCUGGCCAAAUGGCCACUGUAUUUCUAAGAACAGACCCGUUUUUUUACAUUGCUAAGGGCCAGAGCUCCCUUGGGACAUACUGUUUCUGACCAGCUGGGAUGUGGGAGAGAAAAGGGAGAAAAAAGGUGGAAUCCGGGCUUGGUGUCAGGUGGGAGGUGGGAAGCGGAGACCAGAGAGAAGAGCCAAAAGCGAGGCUCCCCUUCGGGCCCAGCCCUUAAAAAGGAACCGAGGAGAAGGCCCCACAGGCCUGCGCUCUGCUCUGAGCUGGCUACACUCUGCAGCACAGCUUCCUUCUCCGGGGUCUGCCCAGCUGUGGGCUGGCACAGAAUUAGCGCAGAUCCUGGGCCUCGAAGCCCCCAGGGCUUCACAGGAGGACCACAGGGCUCCAGAGGCCCCUCCUAGGAAAGCACAUUUGCCUCGGAACCUUGGCAUCUCUGGGCUGGAGGGGUGGAGGAGAGGAGCACUCCUUUGCAGGCUUUAAAGCCAGUGGAGUGGUUGGAGAGGAAAAGGAAAAAUGAGGUGGGGGGGGUGGGCAGGGGCGGCUUUCUGGGACCCUCCUUCCUCCUGCCACCUCACCCCUGCAGACAGUUUUUGAUGCCCUCCGCAGAGGAAGGGAGUGCCUGAUAAGGGCUUGAGAUGACAAACAGCACAGAAUUGCCACUGGCCUGCCCAGCACUCCCACAAUCCCCCCAUUCUGCACACAGUUCCCCCAGAAACCUCUCUCCAGUCGGCUUGUGACCGGCCCUGGCACCCCCCAGGAGGCUCAGACAGCCUGCCAACAACCCAUUUUGAGCUACCCUGCAGGUGCAGCUAUGGGGCCACCUCUCAGAGAGCUGGCUCUCACCCAGAUGCUCCAGGCAGCCAGGCACCUCUUCCCGGGGCCAGCACUCAUGCUGGCAGGAGGGCAUGACGUUGGUCUCUUUGGAGCACCUGCCCACUGCUCUGGGCCAUGCAUCAGGCCCUCAGCUACCCCCUACCCAGGCUUCUCCUUUUGGACGGUCUCUGAGGUCUCACAAGCCGGACCUGAUGGGGUGAGGAGUUCUAUCCCUGACAGGGCCCCCCCGGAAGUCCCCCACUUUUGCUUUUGCCCAGGAGUUAGGGUAGGCCAGGGAGGGGGGAGGGCCAGAACCUUCCCUUCAGGAUCUCAAUUAUGUACCACCCACCUGGCCAGCCCUUCCUGGCUUCCUCCCACUCCUACCCUAUGCCCAUGGCUUCUCUCUCAAGCCUACGCCAGAAAAAAAAGAAACUGGCAGUUCUGCGACCCCCUUGGGUCCCCAAACCCUGCAGACCUGAUGCUGGCCACAGCCUGGCUUCCAUCCCCUGGUUCUCUGUCCCUCCCACUGUGACCCGUUACCACUUGCUUCCUCCCUGUCUGCCUUCCCUCUGCUCAAGCUGCAGGGUACAUGCCAGGCUGCCAUGCUGUCUCGUUGCCCCUUCUCACUGGGGUGAGGCUCCCACACCCUCAGGAAGUCUGUUUGGGACCUCCCUCCUCCUUUGCGGCUGCUUAUAAUGGAAAAUCUGGACAGGUAGGAGGGAGAAGAGAAGGAAUGGGCAGAGGCAGAGGAGGUGACUCUUAAACGAUGCUGCUGUUGGGAAGAAACUUCUCAGGUAAAGUUGGGAGAUCACGUUCUCCAGGAGCAAACAUGCUUGCCCAACCCCUGGACGAGGGAGAUGAAUGGCCUAUGAGACGUCGAGUUAAUCUCCGAGGAUCUUGCUCAGGGAUAAUAUGAAUUGGUUGUCCUGGGUGUAGUAAUCAAGUGGACGGCUCUCCAGUACAAAUGCUUGCAUUCUUUCUUUGUUAGGAGGAGCACGGUUUAAAAGAAGAGCUCUCAGAUGUCCCUUCUUUGUCUUCAUGCAUGAAGGGAAUAUAAUUUGGUGUCUUUGGCAGAUCCCUUAGAAUGAUGCACAUGGGGAUGACAGUCCCGUCACCUGCUCUCCUGUGGCUUUUUACCUGAUCUGUACUCUUUGGGCAUCUUUAGAAAAAAUGUCCAGAAAGGGACCCCAGAAAGUUAUCCCACGCAUCCACUCACCUCUGGUUAGACCCCCAGGAGUCCCAGACAAAGAAUAAUCUUGUGCUCACAUAUUCUCCACAGCACAGACCCCUUUGCUCCUAACCCUCCCUCCCUGGCUGUCUUGGACUUGGAGGGUAGCUCUCCAGCCAUUCGUCUGUCCCUCCCACAGUGCAGAACCCCUAGGUGCCCAGCGUUCAGCCCACUAUCACUGAAGAGGGACAGGGUCUGGAAACUCCCAGAGAGUCCCACCCAGACAAAUUUCAUUUUUGAAAGUGAAGGUGAUAUUCCAAUAUAUCCUUAAACGGGCUUGAUCUUUUUAAAGCCUUGGUGUGAGUGAUUUCACAGAGGCUGUAGUUUUCGUUUCUGCUCUCAAAUGCAUGGUGACUGAUGGAGGGCACCGUCCUAUGCUUGUGGGAAUGGAAAGGUGCUGCUAGGUCAGGGUCAUGGACAGGGCCAGCCACGGUCCAGAUAUUCCCCAUGCUGUCACCAGGACCUGGGGCUAGGUUACCAGCCUUAGAAAAAGGGACCUUAAAUGGCUGGUGGCUUGGAAGGGACAGGUUUGGGAUACUGGUUCAUAGGCUGUAACCUCAUGAGCAAUCAGGUUCUAAAAACCCGAAGGCCAAUUCUUUCCUUACAUGAGAACAAUAACCAUCAUGAGGAAUGCAGUCUCCCAUUUGCCCAUCAGUGCAUUCUUCCUGUAGAUGAGUUGACAACCUGGGACAGCGAAUCCGAACCAGAGGCUUGGGGCAGAAAUCAGAUUGGAGAGGAGGCCGUGGGAGCUGCAUUUGUGGGGUUCCCUACUGAGAAAAUGCUGGCCCCAAUGCUGCUGCAAAAGGGCUUCAACCACCAGGCAGAGGGAGGCCUGUGGCCAGGGUAGCAUUGUUUGUCCAAUCUGCCCAUCAUCUGAGCCUCCUCCUUAUGCCUGGGGUCCCCUCGUAGGAUAAGCAGAAAGGUUGCCUCACUUUAGCAGAAAUGCCAACCAGUAGAUACUCAUUUUUCCAUACUCCUCUGCAGCCUGGCUGCACAGAGCCCCAGGCCCCAGCGUGUUUAAGCAGGAGGCUGCAGAUGGGAAAGUUCUCCAUCCGGGCAACAGUGGUGGCCCGGCCACAGCCAGUUUCCAACGCCAGCUAUUCUUCCAAGAGCUUUCAGCAUCUGCCCAGCAUCCAGGCCUUUCUAUCUGCUGUGCAAACUGCAAGGGCCAGGACCUCAGCGUGUCAGUGGUGUCCUCUGGACCAGCUCUGCAUCCAAAUUUCACACACUGCUCCUGGUGGAUUGCCUCCAGGCAGAACUGUUUGGCCCUUGCAGAGUUUGAGCUUCCUGGUGUCUUUAAUAAAUUCCAUUUCUGCUCAUAUCCACCAGCGUCAUUCUCUGUGACCUGCAAAUAGGAACCCUACCUCGUAGAUGACCCCUUGGCACUGUCACCUGUCACCUGUCCAGAGUCACACAGCUGGUGGCGCACCGUGGACAAGUCCUGAGCUCUCACUGCUGUCCUGCUGUCCCCACUGUCUACCUGGGGAGCCGUGAAUGGGAAUGUCGCGCUAGUGUAAAAGAGGGACCCAUCCCUGCCAGGCGUGGUGGCCAAAACAGGCUUCUUGGAGACACUGGGCUAGAAGGCUAAGGAGGAGACUGCUCUCUCCAGACAGGCGACACGGGUUGUGGUGAGUGCAGGUCGAGUGCUCUGGACUCCGGGCCAAGGUGGUGGGAAGAGCCCCAGGCCCUGGCAUAGCUCUGCCCUGCUCCUUGGUGCCAGACUACUGCCUGGCACAUCAUGGGUGUUGGCUAAAUGUUUGUGAAUUGAGCUGAACCGUCUGCGUUGUUAAUCCGCCUGGCUCCUGUCAACACAACGCGGGUGUUUGCCUGGUGAUGAGGCCCAGCCUGUUCUCCAUCCAGAAACUCUGUGGGGAAUGAGAAAAUCUUGCUUUUGCAAGCGUCCUGUUAACUGUGACCGUGACCUUAAAGACUGGAGAUGAUUCUGGGACAUGGUUAAAGACAAGGGGCACCAGGGGAUCAUGCGAGGGAGAAAGAGCUACAUAAUACAAAUAGCAGGUGCCAUUGAUCAGAUCCAGUAGAGAGGCCACGUGCUCCAGGUGGAGUCAGAGUACCGGAGUCUGCACCCACCUCCUGCUCAGCCCUGGGUAAGGUGCUUAUCUACCCGGUGCCUCAAUUUCCUCACACAUAAAAAUGGGGAUAAUAAAAGGAUGGAUUGGGCACCUUGGUGGCUCAGUAAUUGAGUGUCUGCCUUCAGUUCAGGUCAUGAUCUCCUGGGGUCCUGGGAUCAAG